CUCCCUGGUACCAUACCCCAGCCGAUGAGUAUGUACCCCCAGAAGUACUUCCGCUCAGAGAAGAAGGAGACGGCAAGCAGGGUGUACAGGGAAGGCCUCCCUCUCCAGGACUCCUUUAGAUUUCCCCAGCAUCCAGACCUCACCUGCCUAAGUGCUGUUGCCCUGGAAGCCACAGUGAGCACGAGCUCCAUCUUGCACCUUUACCAGCCAAUGGGGGUAAAGACAUUAGCUGAAAUACUUCUAAGGGGCCAGGCGUGGUGACUCAUGCUUGUAAUUCCAAGCACUUUGGGAGGCUGAGGCAGGUGGAUCACCUGAAGCCAGGAGUUCAAGAGCAGCCUGGCCAACAUGGCGAAACCCUGUCUCUACUAAAAAUACAAAAUUUAGCCAGGCAUGGUGGCGGGAGCCUGUAAUCUCAGCUCCUAGGGAGGCUGAGCCAGAAGAAUCGCUUAAACCUGGAAGCUGGAGGUUGCAGUGAGCCAAGAUCACACCACCACACUCCAGCCUGGGUGACAGAGCAAGACUCCAUCUCAAAAAGAAAAAAAAGAAAAAAAG
rnacentral:lncRNA from 1 species